rnacentral:rRNA from 1 species
GUCGAGAAUCUUUCACAAUGGGGGCAACCCUGAUGGAGCGACGCCGCGUGGAGGAUAAGGUCUUCGGAUUGUAAACUCCUGUCAUGCGUGAACAAGGUUGCUUGGUUAAUACCUGGGCAAAUUGAUGGUAACGCAAGAGGAAGAGACGGCUAACUCUGUGCCAGCAGCCGCGGUAAUACAGAGGUCUCAAGCGUUGUUCGGAAUCACUGGUCGUAAAGGGUGCGUAGGUGGCGUGGUAAUUCAGAUGUGAAAGCCCGGGGCUCAACCUCGGAACUGCAUCCGAUACUGCCAUGCUAGAGUACUGGAGAGGUGACUAGAAUUCUCGGUGUAGCAGUGAAAGGCGUAGAUAUCGAGAGGAAUACCAAAGGCGUAGGCAGGUCACUGGACAGUUACUGACACUGAGGCACGAAGGCCAGGGGAGCGAACGGGAUUAGAAACCCCUGUAGUCC